GGCAACAGCUCCUCAUGAGAACACAAAGAAGAGGUAUCUCUUUUAUUCUCUGCCUCUCUGGUAUCCAGUACAAUACCUUGCACAUAGUAGGUUCUCACUAAGUCUUUGUUGAAUGAAUGAAUGAACUCAGAACUGGGUGAUCACAGGGUCACUUUUGGAGAGGACUUGUGUCUGAGCCAAGUUGGUGAUAUCUAUGGGUAGUAGAUAAAUGGAGGAAAUUCUCUCAUGUGGAUGCAGUAAACAUGCAGUGUUGUAGAAAAACAGAAAGCUUAGCAAUCCAAAUAGUUAUAUUACCAAAUAAUAAUUAUUACUUUUUAUAGUCAUUAUUUCUACUCACUGUGGCAUUUAAUGUUUCAUCUGUAUCUCUCACAAUGCCCUCUAUAGAAGCAGCAAUAGUGAAAACAUUACACUUUGGAAAAAUAAAAAACAGAUAAUUUUUAGGUGGAUCUUUAUCCAAAUACAAUAAAGAAGCAAAACAGAAAAAAAAAAAUCGUUGUCUAAAGCUGUCUAUUUGCAAGUGGGGAGUGGUUUCCAAAAGUGAUUGCAGACUGAAGGCUAAGAAGAAAAAUCUCUGACCAAAGUAUGUAUUAGACAAGGUUAGCUAAGAACCAAAAUUCAUUUCUGGCUGCUGUCUUUUUCAUUACUUGGUUUAGUUUCUAACAUCUUAAAAAUAAUGCUCUCCAAAUGAAUAAGAAGUAUUUUUUUGUGAAGCACAGUAUAGUUUUCUCUGGCUCUUACCUACUAGUCUUAUUCAUGCUAUCUUUGCUUUAAAACAAUACUUUUCUAAGCUCUAAAUAUACAUGUGAUAAAUCAUGAGUUUACCAAUAAUAAUGGUGGAUCAUACCGUUGUGUUUUUAUAUGCCAGGUACUGUAUUGAGACCCUGCCAUGAGUUAUUUUAUUUAAUGUGGACAGUGGCCUCUCUGUAAACAAAACCAAACCUAGGGCUCCCAUUUUACAGAAGUGGCAACUAAGGUUUGGGGGAGCUUUCCCAGUGGGUUCUGAACCUGCUCCUCCUCAGUCCAGCCAGCCAGCCAGUUCAUAGGAAUUGUGUAUAGUUGGUUAAGACAGAGAUCAAGAUGAGACAAACUCAUUCAUGUGGCUGAAUUAUGUUUGACUGUAUGGAGAGACUACAUUUGUUUAUCUCUCGGCGGGCACUUGGAUUGCAGCUAUUUUUCAGCUCCUAUGAACAAUGCUGUGCCGAGACCAGCUCAGCCUCAGAGACCGCAACUCAUGCGGCAGUGAAGGAAUUAAGAAACAGACACCGACAUAGCAAAAGGUGGGUUCAGAGUGGGGCACCAGGGGUCUCACAGCACUUCCAGCUGAGAGUCCAGAGCAGACUCUAACCAAUGUAUUUAUUCUUUACGUUCCAGUGACAAGUUUUACAAGAAGAUGCUCUGUGUUCUUUCAUUGGUUAAAGGUAAACUUACCAGGCAGCUAGUGUGUGUUUACUACAAGUUAAAGACAAACUAGAAAGCGCUCUUUACAAGGGAACAAAGAAAGGGUUACCCAUCCUGUGCUCAAAGAACUGAUUCAUCUGGCGUGAGACACAAUUAUAUUGAAUACUGU